UUGAAUUGUAUUUUCGUGUCUAACACAAUUGUGUGCUUUAUGAUCUGGAGCUCUAACACACCCGGAGGAGUGUCGGUCGACGUUGGCCGGAGCGAAGUCGACGAGAACGCAAAUACGAAGGAAACAGAGAAUUAAAUAAUUUUUAACUUGUAGUUGGUCAUUGUUUUUUUCACGGAUUUUAUAGGGUCGCCCUUAUGUAAAUCGUGGGAUCGACCCUUUUACAAUCAACCCACACAGAGGUGUAACUGUCAUCAUGUAACCCAUUCCUAUUACAGAUAAUAUCUCCGGUUAUCGGAGCAGUUCCUUCCAAUAACCGAUGUCACCCUCUUCCCUAAUACCUUAGGGUCUGGAGUGAAAUUAACCUUCACUAAUUACUAGCGAAUCUGCCGCCCGGAUAUUCCACCUGGUACACAUCGUGCUCGCUUGGGCAGAGGUCUGUUGUGAUCGCUGACCGUAUCAAGCUCCUACACCUUGAGUUAAUUAGAUUUUACCGACAGGAAUCACUUCCUUAUUUGAGAUUACCUACGGUAUGUUGAUUAUCUAUUCUUGGCUCUUAGUGUGGUAUUCUCCUAGCCUCGUACACAUUCUUCCAUGUAUGAACUUCAUUCCUUGAGGUUACCUUUCAAUAAAUUCCUUGUUUAUAUAUCGAGAUGAUUGCGAACUUGUUUGUUUCUUCACCCUAUAGUGUAAUCGCAAUUUUUUCUACAACUCUAGGGAUUAGACUUUAUCAUUG
rnacentral:lncRNA from 1 species